rnacentral:rRNA from 1 species
CAGUGCCGCGGUAAUGCGAAGGGUGCAAGCGUUAAUCGGAAUUACUGGGCGUAAAGCGUGCGUAGGCGGUUUGUUAAGUCUGCUGUGAAAUCCCCGGGCUCAACCUGGGAAUGGCAGUGGAUACUGGCAAGCUAGAGUGUGUCAGAGGAUGGUGGAAUUCCCGGUGUAGCGGUGAAAUGCGUAGAGAUCGGGAGGAACAUCAGUGGCGAAGGCGGCCAUCUGGGACAACACUGACGCUGAGGCACGAAAGCGUGGGGAGCAAACAGGAUUAGAUACCCCGGUAGUCCCUGUCUCUUAUACC